ensembl:lncRNA
UUAACACCUGGCUUACUACUCUCAAUAUUUGAAUCAUUUCUGUCGUAUGAGUACGUACUGUACAUCUUUCACGUUCACGUCCAUUGCAUUCAGUCCAUCCGGGAGAAGCAUCCUCCUCUGCCGUUCUCCAUAUAUUUCUUUUUUGGGGGAGUUUUUACUGUGACGAUGUGCAGGUUUCGGGAUAGAGGAUGCCACAAAAAUUGCAAAUUUGUCAUUUGUGAUAUUGGGCUACACAAAAUAAAACAAAUUACAUUGAAUGGACGAAGGUGGAUAGGCUCAGAGUUGAUUGAUUCAUCAGUAGACAGUCUGCAGCCAUUUUGACAUUUACAGCUCCCUCCAGGAAUGAGUUCCUGUCGUCAACGACUUAUUUCGCUGUCAUGAAACGGAAUGCCCCAGCCAUUCACACACUGAUGGGAGAAGCUACC